CACACACACCCAUGUUUCUGUCAGGAAGCCAGUUGGCUGCAGGGCCAAACAAGACAUAGCUGAAUUUACACAAACUCUCCUGGGCCAAGGAAACGGGAAACAACACUCUGCUGUUGCCUGGCCCCUGCGGUUCCCCUUUCUCUUUCAACUGUGAAUGUAGCUUUUCUUCCCCUGCUUCCUCAACUGAUUCACGACUAGGGCAUCAGUGUGCUCUGGAAACAUUCCGCCCCAGAUCUGGAUCUGUCUCCUGACUCCCGGGCUCCUCUUGCCCUGACAGCCUUGCUUGGCACGGGUAUAUGCAGACUGCUUGUCUCAGGAUAUUAACAGGGUGGAUAGAAGCAGGGUGGGGUUGGCGAGUGUGCCAAGAAGCCUGGCCUGGCUGGAGGAAUGAGUGUGCUGCCCUGCAGGAAAGGGAGGCUCUGCUGCAGGGCCUGCUGGGCUCCAUGGGAGGAGCAGAGAUGUGGGGUACAGAUAGGAGGUGGGCAGGAGACAUUCUGGAGACCAGAAGCAAGGCUCUAAGAGAUUCUUUAGACCAAAAGGAAAGGGUAUGUGUAUGGAGGGCAUCUUUGGUGUCUGCUUCCUAUGCCACUGUGUGCCGCUGCUAAGAAGAGCAAGGCCUAGGAGGAUGCAGAGAGUGGCUGGGCAACCCUCAGCAUCUGGACAGCUUCCAGUUAGAGAUGGGGCUGAGGGGGUGGCAAGCUCCUGGCUCCAGCCGUCUUUAUUGCCUGUGCUUUGUGGUGCUUUAAGCCAACUCCUGUGUGCUGCCGCGAGGUCUGCCUCUCUGGGACCUUCGCCAUGAGGGUGUUGAGAGCUGCCCAGACACGCAGCCAUCGUUGCCAGCCCCCUGUAAACGUGGGCCACAGGCCUGGAGUGGGAAAGGAGGCCCACAGGAGCACUUGCUCCAAGCCUUCACAACUGCCUGUCUUCCAGGUCUUCUAUUGCCUUGCACUGAGCGGGAAAGAGCCAGGCAGCACAUGCCGUUUUGUUCAGGCGGAGCAGGUUGGCCUCAGCUGCUUUGGAGGGCUGAAAAUUUAAGGGCAGCCUAGUCAACUUAGUAAGACCCUGUCUCAAAAGUCUCAAAAUAAAUAAAAAAGAAAAAGAACCCUGAUCGUGGUGGGCACGCCUUUAACCCCAGCACUCGGGAGGCAGAGGCAGGUUGAUUUCUGGCCAGCCUGCUCUACAGAGUGAGUUCUAGGCCAGACAGGUUCCUAAGGUUCAAAGAUGAUUUGUUCAUUUUUCUUUGUGUCUCUGUUUCUUUGGUCUCAUUAUGUAGCUCAGGCUAGCCUCAUAGUCACCAUCCUCCUGCUUUUCCCACCCCCACUCCACGUGCUGGGAUUUCAGGUGUGCACCACCACGCCUGCCUGGCUUUGUCCCUGUUUUAAAUCACUGUUCACGGUUCACCGUUGCACCGUGAAAUGUUCCCACACUGAGAAGGUAACUUACUCUAACGGGACAGGCUGAUGCUCUGCAUCGGAACAACCGUGUUCCCCCCUCGUCAGCUCCUGGUUCUGAGCAGCUGUUUUCUGUGGGGCCUGUGUGAUCGUGAGUUCUCUGCUUCCUCAGAGCCACACUGCUGAGCUGGUGCCUGCAUCUGUCUGUUCAGGCUAUGACUCACCAACAGCUGUUAGCCUAGGGCCCUUGGCCUCUUUUCCACGCUUUGGUUUAGAGCUUUGACUUUGCAAGGGGCAAUUGUUCCCUCUGCCCUGUCCCAAUUAUAAGCACGUGACCUUGAAACUCAAAAGCUGGAGACCCAGAUAUCUCCCCUUUCCCAAGGAAAAUGCAUUUCCAGACUGAGGAUGAAAGAGGCCGUUCCUAGAAACAGGACGGGACACGCCUGCAGUCCUGCGGGUGGAGGCAGAAGGAUGCGGAAUUCAAGGACAUCCCAACUACAUAUCAAAUCGGAAAGCAGCUGGGUUGUGUGAUACUCUGUCUCAAAACAGCAACAAAAAAGAUCUCAUAUACACCUGGCAAUGGUAGUGCACGCCUGUAAUCCCAGCACUCAGAAGGCAGAGGCAGAUGGAGCUCUGAGUUUGAGGCCAGCCUGAUCUACAGAACAAGUUCCAGGACAGGCACGGCUACACAGAGAAAAAAAAGAAAGAAAGAAAAAUCUCAUUUAUAAGACUUGGUGUUUAACCUCCUUUGAAAGUCCCUGGAGAAAUGCCAGUUCAUUUGCUCAUAUUAAAUAAGUUUUUGCUCAUGA